UGCGCUGGUUUUACGUUUAGUUCGUUGGGGAUGGGAUCCUAUUUUGAGAGGUCGUGCCUUGACCUUGGUUUGGAAUGUGCUGCGUUCUCUUCCGCCGCACAAAGCACGCGUUGAAAACGGUGUGCGUUAGAAGGAUUGGAGUCACUGCCCUGAUGUGUCUCCCAGUCUGGUCCUUAGAGGCGCAGGGUCUUCUCCGAGCUCCACGUGGGGCCCAGAAUAAGAUACCCUGGGCGCUGAAGUACUGGCUUGGAGCUGAGCCAAUUAUACGCCCUGUCCUCUGAAAAGAACUGCACAAUGGAGAGUUGUGGGUUAAUUGCUAUUUGGGGCAAGAUGUGGGCUAUAGCCUGAGAGAUAGCCCCUCAGCUCCGAGGAACUACUCCGGAGAAGAAAAAGAAGUCAUGAGAUGGAGAAUUUCUUCCACAUCCCACCAGUAAAUGUACAGUCCUUCCUAGAACAGCAUUCAUUCAUCCUCUAUGUCCUAUUAAAGAGAAGGAAGUGGCUUUUCUCCUGCUAAUGAUGUUCUCCCAAGGUGAUCUUAAAUGGUUUAUAAAUUCUCAGAUUUAUACCCGCAUCCCAAAUCAGAGCCAGUUUGUAUAGCGGGAAGACUGAAGACACGGGGAGAAGACAGCAAUCUCCAAGUCAAGAGGCUCAGAAGAGACCAGCCUUGCCGACACCCUGAUCUUAGACAUCUCACCUCCAGAACUGGGAACACAUUAAUUUGUCUGUUAAUCCACCCAGUCUGUGGUCCUUUGUUAUGGUAGCCCUAGCAAACUAAUAGAGAUUUUGGUACCAGGAAUUAGGGCACUGCUCUAACAAACAUCUAAAAUUGUGGAAGUGACUUUAGAACUGGUUAAUGGGUAGAGGCUGGGAGAGUUUUGAAGGGCAUGUUAGAAAAAGGAAUGAAAAGAGAAGAUUUGGAAAUUUCUCAGCCUUUCUAUAUUGCAAAAAAUGAGAACGAGUAUUCUGGAGGGAAUGUCAAGGGUGUGACUGGACACUCACUACGGGGACACAACAGUAAGUUUGAACUGAAAGGUGCAAGAGUCAGAGGACUUAAAUAUAGAUUGAUAGAGGUUACGCAAUCUGAGGCACAGAGUAAAAGAAUGAAGAAAACUGAGCAGGGCCUUACAGAAUUGUGGGACACCAUUAGGCAUACCAGCAUUUGUGUAAUGGAAGUAACUGAAGGAAAGGAGGGAGAGGAGCAGAAAUAUAUUGACUAUAUAGUGGUUGAAGACUUCCCAAACACUCUGAGAAACAUUACGUAUCCAAGAAGCUCAAUAAACUCUUAGCAUGACCGAAAGGAGGUCUACGCCCAGACGCAUCAUGGUCAAAUGCUGAAAGCUGAUGGUAUAUGUCCAAAGGAAUUGAAAGCAGGAAGUCAAACAGAUAUUUGUAUGCCAAUGUUCACUGAAGCAUUAUUCACAAAAACCAAAAGCUGGAAACAACCCAAGUGUCCAUCGACAGAUGAAUGGAUAAACAAAAAGUAGUGUACACCUGCAAAGGUAUUUUAUUCAAUCAUAAAAGGGAAUGAAGAUAUGAUACAUGCCACAGCAUGG